rnacentral:rRNA from 1 species
AACGUAGGUGGCGAGCGUUAUCCGGAUUUACUGGGCGUAAAGCGCGCGCAGGCGGCACUCUAAGUACGUCGUGAAAUCUCCUUGCUCAACGGGGAGGGUGCGAAGUAGACUAGGGAGCUAGAGGUCGGUAGAGGGGGGUGGAAUUGCUGGUGUAGCGGUGAAAUGCGUAGAGAUCAGCAGGAACACCCGUGGCGAAGGCGGCCCCCUGGGCCGUACCUGACGCUGAGGCGCGAAGGCUAGGGGAGCGAACGGG